rnacentral:rRNA from 1 species
UGGGGAAUCUUGGACAAUGGGGGCAACCCUGAUCCAGCCAUGCCGCGUGAGUGAUGAAGGCCUUAGGGUCGUAAAGCUCUUUCGCCUGUGAAGAUAAUGACGGUAGCAGGUAAAGAAACCCCGGCUAACUCCGUGCCAGCAGCCGCGGUAAUACGGAGGGGGUUAGCGUUGUUCGGAAUUACUGGGCGUAAAGCGCACGUAGGCGGACCAGAAAGUUGGGGGUGAAAUCCCGGGGGCUCAACCCCGGAACUGCCUCCAAAACUAUUGGUCUAGAGUUCGAGAGAGGUGAGUGGAAUUCCAAGUGUAGAGGUGAAAUUCGUAGAUAUUCGGAGGAACACCAGUGGCGAAGGCGGCUCACUGGCUCGAUACUGACGCUGAGGUGCGAAAGUGUGGGGAGCAAACAGGAUUAGAUACCCUGGUAGUCCACACCGUAAACGAUGAAUGCCAGUCGUCGGAUAGCAUGCUAUUCGGUGACACACCUAACGGAUUC